rnacentral:rRNA from 1 species
GUGGGGAAUUUUGCGCAAUGGGCGAAAGCCUGACGCAGCAACGCCGCGUGGAGGAUGAAGGCCUUCGGGUCGUAAACUCCUGUCGGGGGGGACGAAAGUCCCGCGCAAGCGGGGCCUGACUGUACCCUCGGAGGAAGCCACGGCUAACUCCGUGCCAGCAGCCGCGGUAAUACGGAGGUGGCAAGCGUUGUUCGGAAUUACUGGGCGUAAAGGGCGCGUAGGCGGCUUGGCAAGUCAGAUGUGAAAGCCCCGGGCUUAACUCGGGAUCUGCAUCUGAAACUGCUUUGCUCGAGUCUUGGAGGGGGUAGUGGAAUUCCCAGUGUAGCGGUGAAAUGCGCAGAUAUUGGGAGGAACACCUGUGGCGAAGGCGGCUACCUGGACAAUGACUGACGCUGAGGCGCGAAAGCUAGGGUAGCAAACGGGAUUAGAAACCCGUGUAGUCC